GCCAGACGGAGCGGGGUGGGCUUGGCUGUAGUAAAUGGUCAGCUGAUGGCAGUGGGAGGCUUCGAUGGGACGACGUAUCUUAAAAACUAUAGAAGUCUACGACCCUGAUGCCAACACAUGGAGGUUAUACGGAGGAAUGAACUACCGCCGGCUAGGUGGGGGGUGGG